CCUCUCAUUAAGAAACGCCAGUAAACUCGUAACCUCAUCACGAAGAGAUCACAUCUCAACCGUCGAUCUUAUAAUCUAUUUAUUCCAUCUCGUCCGUCCAUUAGUCCCAACCCUCUGUAUAAGAAACGCCUUGAUCUCAUUGGUUAUCUAUCAUACCCGCUUUUUAUCAUAGCUCUUUCAGCUUUUUGUUCAUCGCUUCUCUCUAGAGCUCUCUGUUAUGCGGAAUUGUUGGCGUACUCUCCGAUUCAGCUCUGCCGUCGAAUUCGAUCUACGGAUCGGCGUCGUAUAAACAUGGAUCUAGUAGCUCCGUUUUGAUUCAUGAUCCAGAAGACGGAUCUUAGCUGCUGAGAUCUCAGACGGAUCGGUUGAAGUGCUGAUCUGAUGAAGCAUCAUGAUCUCUCGGCAAAAGCUAGGUUCGUCGGAUCUGUGAUAUGCUUUGCGGAUUGAUGAGUCCUAGAGGAGCAAUUGAAGAAGAGGGAAGAGGAUGGAUAUGCGAAUUGAUAAUGAGAUUGAAGGAUGUAUGAGAUGUUUGUUAAGGACGAUGAGUUCUGAUUAGCAUCUUUGUCAUCCGACCUUUGCCAUGACAGGUGCGCUUGCAUGGCAGGUCACACAAAAAUAAUAAUAAAAAUAAUCGUUUUGUGUUUGGUGAGGGGGAGUUCGCACGGGAGAAUUUUUUUUUUUAAGCCCGGGUUCUCCCUCUCACCUUGUGUCUUUGCACUCUCUCUUUCACUCUGAUUCCAUUCGAUUGCGCCAUAAUAUUUCCCCGUACACAUACAUUUUUGAAUUAACUCGAGCAGAUCUGAAGUCAAACGCGGCCAUAUCUAAAUUCCAACAUACCUCCACAGAGGCAAAAGGUACUUUGAAUUUAGUCUUGAUUCUGUGUUUAUUCUGUUUUUUCGUAUUACAACCUCAACAUCGGCUUUUAAUUUUGCUCGUGGAAAAAUGAUUCUAUUCAACAUUAGCAUAGUGGUUUAUCUUGAAGUAUGUUUCAAUUUUAUUUUCGUUAAAGAACGUUCAACAGCUUCACAAACAGCCAUAACUUUUAUUUGGUUUGGUCUAGUGAGUUAUUAUUUUUGUAAGAUUUAAUGUUUAAAUGAUAUUUAAUACUGAGAACAAUCAUCUAGAGUCGUUCACUUUUCACCAUACUGCAAGUAUAUUGUACCUGUCUUUGAUAUUGUACCCUAGAGUCUUGCAAAGUCUUUGGAGUCGGGAGGCCUUGGGGGUGUUCUCAGCUCUUGCAGGAGUGUUUUCAUGUUGAUCCAAUGAGGUAUCUAGAACAAGUAACUUGUCUGACUUUAUUGUGUAUGGUUUGUCAAGAGUUGGAGCCUACAUUUCUGUUUCUUUGUUCAAAAGAGUAUUUUUGUUGUCAAAUUUGAAGAAAUUAUUCAAUUUGGAGUUUGAAGCUUGAAUUAUAUAUUGCUGUUGCUAUGUAUACAUUAGACUUUUUUUUUCAGAAUAUGUUUCAUUUUCUGUUUAUGCUUUGAUCUUUUAUAUAACUUACAUUAUACAUUAUUUAAACAUUCCGAGAUUAUGAAUACCUUUGUCGCUCUAUUUUGGAUAAGGUUUCGUCAUUAGGAUGCUUCGUGUGCAGAGAUUGAGGCGUCGUGUUGUUACUAAUGGGAAGGUUUGUGUUAUAGUAGAUCUGUAAGCUCAAAAUGGCAGAGCUCUCGUUAUGAGAGGGUAAUGCCACAAAACGAAUUUGCUUGCAAAAGGACAUCCUUUGGAUUUGGCAAUUGGCGGAGGGACCGAUGAACUUAUCAUCGGUAAAGCAAUGACGCUGAUCAACUAUGUGAAUUGGAUUGCAAGCAGCUGAGCUAGGACUUUAUUCAUGUAGGGUUACACAAAAGGAGACGAUUUUUUGCUUAAUGCAUACAUUACGUUGUCUUGGGGUCUUACAUUCAUUCCAAGAAGGUUGUUUUGUGCCUUGAAUAAACAAAAAAAAACAUUUUUGGGCCAA